rnacentral:lncRNA from 1 species
UUUUGAGACAGAGGGAGUACAUUUCAUAUUUCAAAAGCCAAUAUUUUACAACAAAGCUUCCAUAAUUGACAAUCAGCAUGCACAACAAUGUCCCCAAAUGUCAAGAAUUGUACUAACCAUUGCAUACGUUCCACAACAGUCUAACCACGUCAGCAGUUCUGAAGCAAAACAGUCUAACUAGUUCGCAGGUCUGAAGCAAAACGGUAGUCAUGGGUCUUAAAACACAGAGCUGUCCGAACAAAGCAUUGCCUGCAAGCUGGGAGCCCACGCUAUUGGCUCACAAAUCUCUACCUGGUGCUAGGUAUCCAACGCACAAAAUGCAGCAAGGUUCCAAAAUACAUCGCACCGACUGCAUUACAUUUACCGCAAUUCACAUCAGUUAAGAGAAAAAACUAAAGCACACUCAAAAAUGAAACAAGAAUUGGGACAACUAACAUGAGAAGAACCUCACGAAACUGCUGCUCUCCACCAGGUGAUUUCAGAAACAGCAGGAAUGGAUU